AUUGAACGCUGGCGGCAGGCCUAACACAUGCAAGUCGAACGGUAACAGGAAACAGCUUGCUGUUUCGCUGACGAGUGGCGGACGGGUGAGUAAUGUCUGGGAAACUGCCUGAUGGAGGGGGAUAACUACUGGAAACGGUAGCUAAUACCGCAUAACGUCGCAAGACCAAAGAGGGGGACCCUCGGGCCUCUUGCCAUCGGAUGUGCCCAGAUGGGAUUAGCUUGUUGGUGGGGUAACGGCUCACCAAGGCGACGAUCCCUAGCUGGUCUGAGAGGAUGACCAGCCACACUGGAACUGAGACACGGUCCAGACUCCUACGGGAGGCAGCAGUGGGGAAUAUUGCACAAUGGGCGAAAGCCUGAUGCAGCCAUGCCGCGUGUAUGAAGAAGGCCUUCGGGUUGUAAAGUACUUUCAGCGGGGAGGAAGGGAGUAAAGUUAAUACCUUUGCUCAUUGACGUUACCCGCAGAAGAAGCACCGGCUAACUCCGUG
rnacentral:rRNA from 1 species